rnacentral:sRNA from 1 species
AAAGACACUGCAGGCUGCAACCCAACUGGAGACUACUGCAGGCUGUCAUGUCUCUGAUCCCCACUCUUGGUGCCAGCCCAGGGCCAAAGCUAAUGGGUGAGGAUGGAAAUACAAGCACCUUCAACAUCUCCUGCACCAACUUCUUCCUGGUGGGUUUCCCUGGACUUCACGCGUGGUGGCCCCUUCUGGUCCUGCCUCUUGCCUUCCUCUAUGUGACUAUCAUCUCUGCCAAUGCCCUGGUCAUUCACACAGUGGUUGCCCAGCAAAAUCUGCGUCAGCCUACGUAUAUGCUCAUCACUGUGCUCCUGGCUGUCAACAUUCGUGCUGCCACAGCCGUGAUGCCUAAAAUGCUGGAGGCUUUGUAUAUUAUGCUAACCCCAUAUCGCUGCAUGGCCGCCUGGCCUAGGUGUUCUUUAUCUACUUCACCUUCCUCCUGGACUACAACUUCCUCUGGCCAUGGCCCUGGACUGCUACGUGGCCAUCUGCCACCCACUCUGCUAUUCUGACCUGAUGACCUCCCAGCUGCUGGGACUGCUAGCCAUUCUUGCCUUGACACAGAGCCUGGGAGUGGCAGUGCCCUUGGUGGUGCUAACUGCAAAAGCCCGAUUCUGCCGGACAGCAGUGAUUCAACACUUCACCUGUGAGUACAUUGCACUGCUGAGCAUAGCUUGUGGAGACCUGACCUUCAACAACUGGCUAGGGCUGGCUAUGUGGUUGGUCACUGUAACCUCUGAUCUGGCCCUGCUGGGGACCUCCUACACCCACAUCAUCUAUGCUGCCUUUCGGAUCUCUUCUUGGGGAGCCCAAGCCAAGGCCUUACACACGUGUGGCUCCCACUUACUGGUCAUCCUCUCCAUCUACCUCUGGUCUUUCCACUUCCAUCACCUUCUGAGUAGCCAAGACUGUGUCCCAGGAUGUCCAGAAUCUACUCAGUGCCAUAUACUUGCUGCUUCCAGGAGCCUUGAAUCCUGUCAUUUAUGGGGUGAGGACUAGGGAGAUCCAGCAACAUGUAGAAAAGAUGCUCUGUGGAAAGGAAACAGCCCAGAAGGCUGGGGAGAAGCCAAAGAGGCUGCAGAACAUGAGACUGGAAACUGCCAUGGUGAGGGACUUUACUAACUUGGGAAGUUGGGGCUAUGAUCUCUGAGAAGAGAUAAGCAGGCAGUACUCAGGGACAGGCUCGAAUUUCCUCAGCACAUUAUGGGCUCAACAGCAGGUUCCCUGUUGGUCAACUGUUGCUUGUUAAAUUCUUAGAAUGCUCUUUGUUUUCACCUCC